UACGUAGGGUGCAAGCGUUAAUCGGAAUUACUGGGCGUAAAGCGUGCGCAGGCGGUUUUGUAAGUCUGUCGUGAAAUCCCCGGGCUCAACCUGGGAAUUGCGAUGGAGACUGCAAGGCUAGAAUCUGGCAGAGGGGGGUAGAAUUCCACGUGUAGCAGUGAAAUGCGUAGAGAUGUGGAGGAAUACCGAUGGCGAAGGCAGCCCCCUGGGCCAAUACUGACGCUCAUGCACGAAAGCGUGGGGAGCAAACAGG
rnacentral:rRNA from 1 species